GGGGAUGUAGCUCAGUGGGAGAGCACUUGUCUAGCAUACACAAGGACCUGGGUUUGAUACUCAGCACCACCA
rnacentral:tRNA from 1 species